rnacentral:rRNA from 1 species
GAUGAACGCUGGCGGCGUGCCUAAUACAUGCAAGUCGAGCGAACGGACGAGAAGCUUGCUUCUCUGAUGUUAGCGGCGGACGGGUGAGUAACACGUGGAUAACCUACCUAUAAGACUGGGAUAACUUCGGGAAACCGGAGCUAGUACCGGAUAAUAUUUUGAACCGCAUGGUUCAAAAGUGAAAGACGGUCUUGCUGUCACUUAUAGAUGGAUCCGCGCUGCAUUAGCUAGUUGGUAAGGUAACGGCUUACCAAGGCAACGAUGCAUAGCCGACCUGAGAGGGUGAUCGGCCACACUGGAACUGAGACACGGUCCAGACUCCUACGGGAGGCAGCAGUAGGGAAUCUUCCGCAAUGGGCGAAAGCCUGACGGAGCAACGCCGCGUGAGUGAUGAAGGUCUUCGGAUCGUAAAACUCUGUUAGUAGGGAAGAACAUAUGUGUAAGUAACUGUGCACAUCUUGACGGUACCUAAUCAGAAAGCCACGGCUAACUACGUG